UACGAAGGGGGCUAGCGUUGCUCGGAAUCACUGGGCGUAAAGGGUGCGUAGGCGGGUUUUUAAGUCAGAGGUGAAAUCCUGGAGCUCAACUCCAGAACUGCCUUUGUUACUGAGAAUCUUGAGUAUGGGAGAGGUGAGUGGAACUGCGAGUGUAGAGGUGAAAUUCGUAGAUAUUCGCAAGAACACCAGUGGCGAAGGCGGCUCACUGGCCCAUAACUGACGCUGAGGCACGAAAGCGUGGGGAGCAAACAGG
rnacentral:rRNA from 1 species